AAAGAGACAGAACAAUGUUAUAGGUGAAUGCAUGGACAAUGACCUCAAACAGCUAAGAUUCAAACCCCUGCGUUGAAUGAUUGAAUUGAAAUGAUUCAAUGAGCUAAUGUACAUAAAGCAUCCAGAAUGUUGCCUGGCACAAAGACUGUAUUGUCUGCUAGACCAUUUAUUCAAAGUGGGAGGAUGAUGUUCUAAAAGCCAAUGAUAAAGCUCAUGGCAACGCAGGGUAUAUCUGAUGGCAUGGAAUGCUUUAGGAUGGCCAAGAUUGCCCAUCAAGUGCCAAGUCACCGAAGUUGUUAAUGGCUCUCCUACUAGGAGCCUGACAUCAUGGUGAGCAUCGAGAAAGGAAUAACCUAAGCUGAAGACACGCCUUUUCUUCAGGAGGCCAAGUUCCACGUUCUGUGCAUGCUUUUGGCGAAAGUCAGGUAAAGCCUCCAGAAAUGCAUGGUCUAUUCUCUCGGACCAUAUGGCUGUGGGCAAACUCUGGCUUCUUGGAGCCUCCAUUAGCCACCCAGGGAAAGGUAAUUGGCUUUAUGUUUGGCUCCAUCACUGCUGGCGACAACCUCCACUGCAUUCUCAAGCAGUAGAUGAAAUACAACUGUGCUCCUGAAUGCAGCAAAGGAAAGAGAACCCAACUGGACCAGUGUGAAAUUGGGACCUUUGGAGGCAAGAAUGCACAUAUUUGUAAAUGAAUAAACAUAAUUUUUCUCUCUUCUUCCCAUUGGCAGCAUAUCUGAAGGCCCUGACUCAACAGUAGUGGGUCUUAAUGCUUGUGCUUGUCCACCCUUCUCGGCAGUGAUUGAUUUCAUUGUUGGCUUGUUUUCAUGACUUGAAUGUGGGAUCUUCAGAGGGCCUAAUUCCUUGCAAGUUCCAUUUGAGGGUGGAAGAGCUAGAACAAGCUAUAACCAGUAGACAACUCUGUGACUCAGAAGCUUAAGCAUUUGACUAAUUAGUAAGAAAAAAUGUGGUGAAGAUUUGUAGUUAAUAAGAAGGAAAGAAGAAUCACGGGGGCUAGAAUUAUGCAAGCUUUUGUUUCCUUUUGGGACUAUAUCAGAACUAUGAGAGAAGAAAGGCUACCUUUUACCUUUGAGGAAUUAUCAAAGCCUUUUUUUUUUUUUUUUUUGGUUUGUUUGUGACUGACAAAGGGCACAAUUUCAACACCUCAGAAAAAUGCCUCAUCAUUUCCUCUUGUGAAAUCUGGGUGCUUCUGAAUGAAUCCAUGUUAGGAAUGUGUACUUCCAUCCAUUAAAGUCAAUGUCCAGUCUCAUUUUGGGCCAGAGGCUGUUACUAAGUUGUAGUACUGGUGAGAAAAGGACAGAGCAUUUACCUUCCCUGGGUAUCCUGUGACCUCCAUGUGUCCUUGCAAGGCAGGGAAAUGUUACCAAUUAAGAGCAUAGCCUUUCAUCAGAUGGGUUCAGAUCCUAACACAUCCUCUUUCUGGUUACAGGACAGUCCUCUCUGAACCUCAGUUUUCUCGUCUCUAAGAUGAGGCUAAUUAUACCUACUUCCCAGUGGGGGUACUAAGGAUAAAGUAACAACACAAGAAAAUUUUUUAUCCUUGAUUUUCUUAGCUGGAAAAUUAGGCUAGAAAGACCUCCAUCCUUGGGGUAUUUAAAAUAAAAGGACAAAUAUAUGAUGAGUCUAA
rnacentral:lncRNA from 1 species